rnacentral:rRNA from 1 species
CAUAUGCUUGUCUCAAAGACUAAGCCAUGCAUGUCCAAGUAUGAACGCUUCGUACUGUGAAACUGCGAAUGGCUCAUUAAAUCAGUUAUAGUUUAUUUGAUGGUUGCUUGCUACAUGGAUAACCGUGGUAAUUCUAGAGCUAAUACAUGCACAGAGUCCCGACUUCCGGGAGGGACGUAUUUAUUAGAUCCAAAACCAGCGCGGGUCUCCCUUCGGGGUGCCCGGUCCCUGGGCGAUUCAUGAUAACUGCUCGAAUCGCACGGCCCUGGCGCCGGCGAUGGUCCAUUCAAAUUUCUGCCCUAUCAACAUUCGAUGGUACGGUAGUGGCCUACCAUGGUUGCAACGGGUGACGGAGUAUUAGGGUUCGAUUCCGGAGAGGGAGCCUGAGAAACGGCUACCACAUCCAAGGAAGGCAGCAGGCGCGCAAAUUACCCAAUCCCGACUCGGGGAGGUAGUGACAAUAAAUAACAAUGCCGGGCUCUCGUAGUCUGGCAAUUGGAAUGAGUCCAAUCAAAACCCCUUAACGAGGAACAAUUGGAGGGCAAGUCUGGUGCCAGCAGCCGCGGUAAUUCCUGCUCCAAUAGCGUAUAUUAAAGUUGUUGCAGUUAAAAAGCUCGUAGUUGGAUUUCGGGGCGGCCCGGCCGGUGGGCCGCGAGGCGAGCACUGGUCGGGCGCCCUUCCUCUCGAAGGCUUCGACUGCUCUUGAUUCCGGUGGUCGAGGAGUUCGGGACGUUUACUUUGAAAAAAUUAGAGUGUUCAAGGCAGGCCGUCGCCUGAAUACAUUAGCAUGGAAUAAUGGAAGAGGACCUCGGUCCUAUUUUGUUGGUUUCCAGGGCCGAAGUAAUGAUUAAGAGGGACAGUUGGGGGCAUUCGUAUUCAAUUGUCAGAGGUGAAAUUCUCGGAUUUAUGGAAGACGAACAAGUGCGAAAGCAUUUGCCAAGGAUGUUUUCAUUAAUCAAGAACGAAAGUUGGGGGUUCGAAGACGAUCAGAUACCGUCGUAGUCCCAACCAUAAACUAUGCCGACUAGGGAUCGG